UACGUAGGGCACAAGCGUUGUCCGGAAUUAUUGGGCGUAAAGAGCUCGUAGGCGGUCUGUCGCGUCGGAUGUGAAAGCCCGGGGCUUAACCCCGGGUCUGCAUCGAUACGGGCAGACUAGAGUGUGGUAGGGGAGACUGGAAUUCCUGGUGUAGCGGUGAAAUGCGCAGAUAUCAGGAGGAACACCAGUGGCGAAGGCGGCUCACUGGCCCGGUACUGACGCUGAGAUACGAAAGCGUGGGGAGCAAACAGG
rnacentral:rRNA from 1 species